rnacentral:lncRNA from 1 species
GUGCAAUAUUACUAUGAUUGAAAUCAAAGAUAAGACAACACUUGCUAAAAAUGGUUUUCAUAUUUUAUCUCAUCCUAGUAUAUGCUUAUUGUCUUUACAUCCAUAACCGUAAGUCCAUUUUACAAAUAGUACACAAGAAAUCUAUAUAUUACAAUGCACUUACAAAAUAUAUUACAAGGGAAAUGCAAAAUAACACAUCUAAACAACCGCUGAACUCUAUUGCUUGGAAAAAGGAAGAGGGACAUGAGACAUUAUUUGCCCCCUUAAAUUGCAAAAAUAUUAAAAGAGAGGCGAAAGAUAUCACAUUGACAUUCAAGCACAUCAGUCAGAGUAAACUGAAAGCGCCAUGGCUUAACUUAUUAAAGUCAAUUUCAUUGAUAAAUAAACAGGUUGAUGUAAUCUACAAUCUGAAGUAAAAAUCACUUAUAAUGUCACUAUGACAUUUUAAACAUGUAGAAAUAUUUUAUAAACCAAAGGGACAUUUCACUCAUAAAUUUGGGUCAACAUAUAGAUUAAUAUCUUCUAGCUAUAUAAAGGUUGUUUUUCGGUAGAAAUUAUAUUACUUUUUUUCGAAUUGAAAGGGCAAGAAAAUUCCAUAAUACCUUCUCAUUUUUACCAUUAAAUCGUCAGUACUAGAUUUACAUAAUAUUUCGAAUAGAUAACCAAAAAACAUGGUUAUUUUAAUACUAGCGUAAUUAACUAGUAGGCCAUUUAAAUAAAUACAAGUACAGUCAUUACAAGUGAAGUACAAGCAAUUUAUUCUGAUUUAUUAUUAGAAGUUUUACCAAAACAGUUAUUUGGUAUAAUUACAUGUCUAAGUAAUGUUUCUGGGAAAAUUUUCACCAUCACUCAAAUAAUACUGACGUAUGUGUACAGUUAAUAUCUUUUGUCAGAAUUUCAUAACUUAAUUAUUAGAUAACAGCUUUUGAAUUGACUGUUGUCUUGAUAUUUUUUAUAAAUGAAACUAGAGGCUCUAAAGAGCCUGUGUCGCUCGCCUUGGUCUAUGUGAAUAUUAAAGGAAGCAGAUGGAUUAAUGACAAAAUUGUGUUUUGGUGAUGGUGAUGUGUUUGUACAUCUUACUUUACUGAACAUUCUUGCUGCUUAAAAUUAUCUCUAUCUAUAAUGAACUUGGCCCAUUAGUUUCAGUGGAAAAUGUUAGUAAAAAUUUACAAAUUUUAUGAAAUUGUUAAAAUUGACUAUAAAGAACAAUAACUCCUAAGGGGGUCAUUGACCAUUUCGGUCAUGUUGACUUAUUUGUAAAUCUUACUUUGCUGAACAUUAUUGUUGUUUACAAUUUAUCUCUAUCAAUAAUAAUAUUCAAGAUAAU